AAAAACAUCGCCUUGUGAUAAAAUAUACAAGGUCCAGCCUGCCCAGUGAGUUAUUUUAACGGCCGCGGUACCCUAACCGUGCAAAGGUAGCGCAAUCACUUGUUCUUUAAAUAGGGACUAGUAUGAACGGCAUCACGAGGGUUAUUCUGUCUCCCUCUUUUAAUCAGUGAAACUGAUCUCCCCGUGAAGAAGCGAGGAUAUUAUUAUAAGACGAGAAGACCCCAUGGAGCUUCAAACUCAGAAACACCAGCUACUUUUUAAACCAAAUUAAUUGGCUUCCAUGAUUUCUAGUUUUCGGUUGGGGUGACCAUGGAGUACAACACAACCUCCUUGAUGAACGGAACUAUUUUCCUUAUUUAAGAACUACAGUUCUAAAAAUCAACAUAUUGACAAAAAUUGAUCCAAAUUUUUUUGAUCAACGAACCAAGUUACCCUGGGGAUAACAGCGCAAUCCAUUUCAAGAGCUCAUAUCGACAAAUGGGUUUACGACCUCGAUGUUGGAUCAGGGUAUCCCAGUGGUGCAGCCGCUACUAAAGGUUCGUUUGUUCAACGAUUAAAACCCUACGUGAUCUGAG
rnacentral:rRNA from 1 species